GUCACGUGAUCCUCACCUCUGGAAUCAAAAACAUUACUAGGGCUCGCUGAUGACCAUUUUACUCUUCACCCAACCCAAAGAAGAAGACGACGAGCUCGAGGAACACUGUCACUCUCUAUCUCUCACUACUAUAAUCCAGAUGGACUACAGCUCCGAAGAAGAGUCGGAUAUUAGUGAGUCUGAGAUCAACGACUACAAAGAUAAACCAUAUGAGCAGUUGAGGGAGGGAAAGUAUAAAGUAAAGGGUCCUAACGGCACUCUUAGAUGCCCCUUUUGUGCCGGGAAGAAGAAACAAGAUUACAAGUUCAAGGACCUCUUCCAACAUGCUUCUGGGGUGGGUAAAGGUUCUGCUAACAGAAGUGCCAAACAGAAGGCCAACCACCUUGCCUUGGCCAUCUAUUUGGAGAAUGACCUAGCCAGUGAAGCAGACCAAAUACAGCGCCCACUUUUACCCACACCUGUCGUUCCACAAGAGAAGCAAGAAGAAGAUCUCUAUGUGUGGCCUUGGACUGGCAUCGUUGUGAACAUUGUCAGUCAGCCAAAGGAUGGAAAAGAUUUGCUGGAUUCUAGAUACUGGUUGAGGAAGUUUUCUAAAUAUAAACCUUCAGAAGUUCAUACCUUUUUGAAUGAAGGAGAGCCAGCUGCAUGCGCCGUGGUGUGCUUUAGUAAAGAUUGGAGUGGUUUUGGGAAUGCUACUGAUUUUGAGAAAAUGUUUGAAACUGACUGUCACGGCAAAAAGGAUUGGAAUGCACGAAAGCAACAACCUGGCUCAAGUAUUUAUGGGUGGUGUGCACGUGCUGAUGAUUAUCAUUCCCAAGGGCCGAUGGGGACGUUCCUUCGCGAGGAAGGAAAGCUAAGAACAGUAUCUGACAUUGUCCAGGAAGCAGCUCAAAACAGAAAUGAUGUUGUGGCCAGCCUAGCCAGUAAAAUUGACAUGACAAAUGAAAAUCUGGAUGAACUAAGGUACAAGUACAAUGAGAACACAAUGUCAUUAAGUAGGAUGCUUGAAGAGAAAGACAAGCUACACAACGACUUUGUUGAAGAAACGAGGAAGAUGCAGCGGACUGCACGAGACAAUGUUCGAAGAAUUUUAGACGAACAAGAGAAACUGAAUUAUGAGUUGGAGUCUAAGAAAAGGAAACUUGAUUCCUGGAGCAAAGAAUUAAACAAACGUGAAGCACUAACUGAGCGUGAGAGGCAAAAGCUUGACGAGGAUAAGAAGAAGAAUGAUCAGAGAAACAAUUCACUUCACUUGGCUUCCGUGGAGCAGAAAAAGGCGGAUGAGAAUGUCUUGAGACUGGUUGAAGAGCAAAAGAGGGAAAAAGAGGAUGCCUUAAACAAAAUACUUGAGUUAGAAAAGCAGUUGGAUGCGAAACAGAAGUUGGAAAUGGAGAUUGAAGAGAUAAAAGGGAAAUUAGAGGUGAUGAAGCAUCUUGGGGACCAAGAUGACGAUGCAGUUCAAAAGAAGAUAAAAGAAAUGAAUGAUGAAUUGGAGGAAAAAGUUGACGAGCUUGAGGAUUUAGAAUCUCUAAAUCAAACUCUUAUCACCAAAGAGCGCCAAAGCAAUGAUGAGUUACAGAAAGCUCGUAAAGAAUUAAUAGCAGGUUUGAGAGGUAUGUUGGAAGUUCGAUCUCUUAUUCAGAUAAAGAGAAUGGGUGAUCUUGAUUACAAGCCCUUCUACAAUGCAUGCAAGGAACGAUUUAGUGAUGAGGAAGCACAGGUGCAGGCCUCCACUUUAUGCUCCUUGUGGCAGGAUAAUCUAACAAAAACAGAUUGGCAUCCUUUUAAGAUUAUAACUGUUGAUGGGAAUACUCAGGAAAUAAUUAAUGAGGAAGAUGAGAAGCUACGGAAUCUGAAGGAGGAAUGGGGCCAUGAGAUAUAUGAGUGUGUCGUUACAGCCUUAAAAGAACUUAAUGAGUAUAAUCCAAGUGGGAGGUAUGCUGUCUCUGAACUUUGGAACGUCAAAGAAGGAAGGAAAGCCACACUGAAGGAGGUUAUCAGUUAUAUCUUAAGCAAAAUAAAAACACUCAAGCGAAAGAGAACAUGAGGCGAAGGGCGGCUUCUGGUGUUCUUGCAUUACAAAGUUUGUGGGGGAACUAAUAAACUUCCUCAGGCAAUGGUAGCAAAAGUGGAAGACUAAAUUUGGAUCAACUGGUUGGAUGGCAAGAUCAUGUUUUCAUGGGGCUUCCUCAUAUGGAUAUCUGCUUAUGACAAGAACCUGCUUUAGUUGGAUUAAUUGUACCUUGAAUACUUAUGAACCUAAAUUUUUAUGUGGGAAACUUUGUGACUGCUAUUUUAGCACUCGCUUUUGCUAUCGGUUUCAUCAGCUUGUGUAUCUGUAGUUUGCAUUAUUGAAUCCAGUUCGGUGAUUGGCCGUGCCCUUCCCAACCUAAUGUAUUUGUGCUAACAUUGUAAAAU